UACGGAGGGUGCAAACGUUGCUCGGAAUCAUUGGGCGUAAAGCGCACGUAGGCGGCGCGAUAAGUCGGAUGUGAAAGCCCUCGGCUCAACCGAGGAAGUGCAUUCGAAACUGUCGGGCUUGAGUACGGGAGGGGGUUGCGGAAUUCCCGGUGUAGAGGUGAAAUUCGUAGAUAUCGGGAGGAACACCAGUGGCGAAGGCGGCAACCUGGACCGAUACUGACGCUGAGGUGCGAAAGCGUGGGGAGCAAACAGG
rnacentral:rRNA from 1 species